UUCAUUUUUCAGAGCAGGAAUAGGGCUGGAGGAGUGGAGGAGAUUACAGAAUCACAACUUAUGCAAAUAUUCACCUUAUCUGCUGUUCAGUUUUUUUCAGCUUUGUGCUAUUUCAGCAUCGUUUUGUGAGAUCUUCCUGGGAAUAAUAAUGUUAGCAAUCCUGGCCAGUCGUACAGUGAAUGUGAUCACAAAGUGGUUUGUUUGAAACUGUGAAAAUGAAGUCAUGAAGCCACACAAAAAAUGAAGGCAAUGCUUUUGGAACCAACAUGUGUUAAGCAUUUCUUGCCCCCUUGAACCACUGACAAAUUACUGGAAAAGAUAUGUUUUUGCUUUUGUCUGACAGUGUUAUGAGAAAUGCCUCCUUUUGGCUCUGCCUUAAUUAAAAUUUUCAUAAAACAAGGAACCAGGAACCUUGGAGCAGCAGGCUUAUAAAUAUCACAAUUAUUAAGAAGUGUUUUGUAACAAUAAUUAGGGACGGACCAAUGGAAGAAAAUGAGAAUCUUCCCAACAGGCUGCGUAAACAUCAGCCAGUUUGACUUCAGCAAAGGGGACUCUGGACCUCUCAAGAGACCUGAUGCCAAAAGCACUGAGGGUGGAGCAUGUCUCUUUGCCCAGAAGGAGCCAAAAAAGAUUGCCAGCCAGAUGUUGUAUGCUUUCUUAGCUAUCAAUACAGCCAGGAAGCUCUGGUUUUAGCCUUGUCCCCACAUUAUUAUGGAACAUCUCCAUGAGAAGAGGAAUCCUGGAGCAUCAAGGAGAACCUAGAUCUCCUGGUUCAUAAGGGAGGCUGGACUGUUCAGCAACCCACUUUUGCAGAGACUUCCCAUAUAAGGAGGAGGAAAAACUGAAAGGGUGUUGGAAAUAGCAUCCUCCCAGGCCUUUCACUAUUUAUUAGUUAGUGUAUGUAUUUGCUAACCUGUAUUCUAUGUGUAUCUUGAUUUGCCAGUUUGAUUGUACCUCUUUAGUGUGGGAGGAGUUAUAGGCAUUAGAUUGUACUGAGCAUGUUCAGACUCAGGACUCAAUUUUGUAUUAAGUAUGUGUUUGGUCUUCAAUACAGAAGUAUGUUUAUGGACUUCAGUGAGUACAACUAUAUUUAAAGACUAUGUACUAUUGCUUAUGAAUGAUACCCUGUGUACUCAACACAGAGAAGCUACAUCCUAUCUAUAACUGAAUUUUAAUAAGGAAUGUGCCUGUAUGGUGAAUUAAUACUAGAUGUGUAUGAAUAAACAAAAUAUGUUAUUUUUCAAAGAAGACUUUGUUUUAAAAAAAUCUCUGAGUGCAUAUCUUAAACUAAAAUGUUUUUAAAGGGAGAGUAUGUGUUUUGGACAAUUACAAUUACAACUGAAACUGUAAUUUCAAUUUCAAAGAAACAACCAUCCUCUACUAACCAAAUAUAUUUUUGUAGUGGCAUGUCUUUGUCCUUGGCAGUUCAAAGACAUGGUUCUUCAGUUAAACAGCUGAAUUACCUGUAUGCCAUUACAUGAAUGCUUGUGAAUAUUACUUGCUCAAAGAGUUGACUUCUAAAAAGGUCAUGCUUUUCUUGACUAGUGGUUUUCAAAAGGUAGUCUCCACAUGUUAAUAGAUAUUCACAUUUGCCAAAUGGAUAUGACAUCAUUUGUCAUUUUCAAUAAGGUCAUGGUUACCAUUUAUUUCCAAAAGAAUAUGUGCCCAGAGAGUGGGUGCAGUUGUUUUCUGAUAAAGGUGCCAUGUUUUUCCCACAUCCUGGUUUUAAGAAUGUUUUACUCUCAACAAUCUCAGACAAUUGCUCUCUGCGACUUGCCCUGGCUCCGAGUAUCCCCCAUUCACCACCAUGCCAUACUCAGAGGGGUUAGCAGUGAACAAGACUGCCCACUUUGCCAGACAUCCGGGUUUAGAAGGAGACCACUGCCUCUGAUCUCCUCCAAGGUGGAGCUAAGACCAGAACUUGGAAAUCUUAAUACCCAUGCUAACUAAUGGGUUUGGAGAGCUGUAAAACAAAAACAAAAAAUAACAUUCCCAAGCUUUGGCUAUAUCACACACUUCUUUAUAACGAAUUGGUAAUCCAUUGGAGGUGUUACUUGUACCAUCAUUUCAAAUACUUCAGGUUUCAGGAGACUACACAUCCACAGUAGAGCAACGUUCCUAUUCAUCUGCUGAUUCCUU